rnacentral:rRNA from 1 species
GGACUCACAUGCAAUCGAACGGUAACAGGAAGCAGCUUGCUCUUUGCUGACGAGUGGCGGACGGGUGAGUAAUGUCUGGGAAACUGCCUGAUGGAGGGGGAUAACUACUGGAAACGGUAGCUAAUACCGCAUAACGUCGCAAGACCAAAGAGGGGGACCUUCGGGCCUCUUGCCAUCGGAUGUGCCCAGAUGGGAUUAGCUAGUAGGUGGGGUAACGGCUCACCUAGGCGACGAUCCCUAGCUGGUCUGAGAGGAUGACCAGCCACACUGGAACUGAGACACGGUCCAGACUCCUACGGGAGGCAGCAGUGGGGAAUAUUGCACAAUGGGCGCAAGCCUGAUGCAGCCAUGCCGCGUGUAUGAAGAAGGCCUUCGGGUUGUAAAGUACUUUCAGCGGGGAGGAAGGGAGUAAAGUUAAUACCUUUGCUCAUUGACGUUACCCGCAGAAGAAGCACCGGCUAACUCCGUGCCAGCAGCCGCGGUAAUACGGAGGGUGCAAGCGUUAAUCGGAAUUACUGGGCGUAAAGCGCACGCAGGCGGUUUGUUAAGUCAGAUGUGAAAUCCCCGGGCUCAACCUGGGAACUGCAUCUGAUACUGGCAAGCUUGAGUCUCGUAGAGGGGGGUAGAAUUCCAGGUGUAGCGGUGAAAUGCGUAGAGAUCUGGAGAAUACCGGUGGCGAAGGCGGCCCCCUGGACGAAGACUGACGCUCAGGUGCGAAAGCGUGGGGAGCAGACGGGAUUAGAUACCCUGGUAGUCCACGCCGUAUACGAUGUCGACUUGGAUGUUGUGCCCUUGAGCGUGGCUUCCGAGCUAACGCGUGACGUCGACCGCCUGGGGAGUACAGCCGAAGGUGAGAACCAAAUGAAUUACAGGGACCGCAGAGCGGGACCUGUAAUUCCAAUGCACAACUGUCUGGCUCGAGUAUGA